UGGGGAAUUUUGACAAUGGGCGAAAGCCUGAUCCAGCAAUGCCGCGUGUGUGAAGAAGGCCUUCGGGUUGUAAAGCACUUUUGUCCGGAAAGAAAUCCUUGGCUCUAAUACAGUCGGGGGAUGACGGUACCGGAAGAAUAAGCACCGGCUAACUACGUGCCAGCAGCCGCGGUAAUACGUAGGGUGCAAGCGUUAAUCGGAAUUACUGGGCGUAAAGCGUGCGCAGGCGGUUUGCUAAGACCGAUGUGAAAUCCCCGGGCUCAACCUGGGAACUGCAUUGGUGACUGGCAGGCUAGAGUAUGGCAGAGGGGGGUAGAAUUCCACGUGUAGCAGUGAAAUGCGUAGAGAUGUGGAGGAAUACCGAUGGCGAAGGCAGCCCCCCUGGGCCAAUACUGACGCUCAUGCACGAAAGCGUGGGGGAGCAAACAGGAUUAGAUACCCUGGUAGUCCACGCCCUAAAACGAUGUCAACUAGUUGUUGGGGGAAUUCAUUUCCUUAGUAACGUAGCUAACGCGUGAAGUUGACCGCCUGGGGAGUACGGUCGCAAGAUUAAAACUUAAAUGAAUUGACGGGGU
rnacentral:rRNA from 1 species